rnacentral:lncRNA from 1 species
AACGAGUUCUUAUUCACCAGUGCGUAACAUGUUGCCAGAUUAUUUAAUUUUCUGAAGAUUAAAAUUCAGGUAUAUGGAAACCAAUGUAAUCUUUUUUUUGGAAACGGUUAACUUUAGA